rnacentral:rRNA from 1 species
UACAGAGGUGGCAGGCGUUGUUCGGAAUUACUGGGCGUAAAGGGCGCGUAGGCGGCCAUCUAAGUCAGACGUGAAAUCCCCCGGCUUAACCUGGGAACUGCGUCUGAUACUGGACGGCUUGAGUAUGGGAGAGGGAUGUAGAAUUCCAGGUGUAGCGGUGAAAUGCGUAGAUAUCUGGAGGAAUACCGGUGGCGAAGGCGGCAUCCUGGACCAUUACUGACGCUGAGGCGCGAAAGCUAGGGGAGCAAACGGG